rnacentral:lncRNA from 1 species
AAUCACAUCCUCCCAUAGGAACCAGUGGUCACCCCACCCCGUUUUCCCUACAUGGCCUGCCUCCCACAGUUUCUGCUUUACUCUUUUGCUGAGUGCAAGCUUCAUGUGGCCAUGUGGCUUGCAGUAUCAUCUUCCCUGGCCUGGCUAUCACAGAAAAUGAAAGAAAAUGAAGACUUACUUGAAAACUAUGGCCUCUGAUAUUUAGGUCAGUAGAUGGUAAUUAGAGUGGUUACAGGAAGGGUGAUGUAAAAGGAGACGGUGUGGGUUUCAAGAGGGAGGGGAUUUUGGAGUCAUGGUAAGAAGGCAAAGAUCUGAAAGUGGCAAUAAGAAACAAAAAGACUGUCAGCCAUCCCUUCUGGAUUCAAGAAAUAAAAAAGAGAGAUAAUUGUGGCUUUUCUUUGAACUUUAUAACCUGCUAUUAAGCUGUUUGCUUUCUCAAUGUCACUUGUUUCCCUAACGCAUACAUCAGACUUGAAGGAAAUUUGUAUUCCUUUACAGGAGGCUGCCUUUCUGAAGGAGUCCUCUUCUAAGGACUGAGUAGAGGAAGCUGUGAUUUAUACCUUACAAA